rnacentral:rRNA from 1 species
GACGAACGCUGGCGGCGUGCUUAACACAUGCAAGUCGAACGGAAAGGCCCUGCUUUUGUGGGGUGCUCGAGUGGCGAACGGGUGAGUAACACGUGAGUAACCUGCCCUUGACUUUGGGAUAACUUCAGGAAACUGGGGCUAAUACCGGAUAGGAGCUCCUGCUGCAUGGUGGGGGUUGGAAAGUUUCGGCGGUUGGGGAUGGACUCGCGGCUUAUCAGCUUGUUGGUGGGGUAGUGGCUUACCAAGGCUUUGACGGGUAGCCGGCCUGAGAGGGUGACCGGCCACAUUGGGACUGCGGUACGGCCCAGACGCCAACGGGAGGCAACAGUGGGGAAUAUGACACAAUGGGCGGACGCCUGAUGCAGCAGCGUCGCGUGCGGGAUGACGGCCUUCGGGUUGAAAACCGCUUGCGCCUGAGACGAAGCGGGAGUGACGGUAAUGGGUAAAGAAGCACCGGCUAACUACGUG